rnacentral:rRNA from 1 species
UACGUAGGGACCGAGCGUUGUCCGGAAUCAUUGGGCGUAAAGAGCGUGUAGGCGGCCCCUUAAGUCCUGCGUGAAAUCCUGCGGCUCAACCGCAGACGGUCGUGGGAAACUGGAGGGCUAGAGUGCGGGAGAGGAGAGUGGAAUUCCCGGUGUAGCGGUGAAAUGCGCAGAUAUCGGGAAGAACACCAAUGGCGAAGGCAGCUCUCUGGGACGGUACUGACGCUGAGACGCGAAAGCGUGGGGAGCGAACAGG